rnacentral:rRNA from 1 species
AAUGAACGCUGGCGGCGUGCCUAACACAUGCAAGUCGGAUGUGCCGCAAGGUGCAUGGCAGACGGGUGAGUAACGCGUAGGGAAUCUACCUUUUUGUGGGGAAUAACGCUCCGAAAGGAGUGGUAAUACCGCAUGAGACCGUGAGCUGGGAUGUUCACGGUGAAACCUGGGGACCGCAAGGCCUGGGGCAAAAAGAGGAUCCUGCGUCGGAUUAGCUAGUUGGCGGGGUAAUGGCCCACCAAGGCGACGAUCAGUAGCCGGCCUGAGAGGGUGAUCGGCCACAUUGGAACUGAGACACGGUCCAGACUCCUACGGGAGGCAGCAGUGGGGAAUGUUGCGCAAUGGACGAAAGUCUGACGCAGCAACGCCGCGUGGGUGAUGAAGGUCUUCGGACUGUAAAACCCUGUCGUCAGGGACGAAGGUGGCAGUGUUAAUAGCGCUGUUACUUGACGGUACCUGGAGAGGAAGCCCCGGCUAACUCUGUG